ACAUGCUGAUUGCUGCCAAGAAAUGAAGGCGAAUCAGUCACAGAUCUCCACUGAGAGAGAAGAAACCUCAUCAAAGGCAGGUUCCAAAGGCAAGCGAGGAGCUAACACAUUCCCUUCAUACUGCACACUUGGGGAAGCAAGAAGCUGGUUUAGAUGCUUUGUGGGAAGGAAGGAAAGAAGCUGUGGAUAGGCAGAACAGGCAACCACCUGUGGAAGGUCAUCAGGAAGCCACAUCCACCUGUCCAUCACCUAUGCACUUAGUCCACUCCUUUUGUUUGAUAGAAGGAAAAUACACCCUUGAAUGACAAGAAGGGACACUGAAGAAAUUUGGGGGACUAAGACCACAAAAUUUCAGACCAACUAAGGCAUAUCAUCUUAAUAAGGUGAAGUAUCAGAACCUACCACCAAGGCACCGAAGAGUGGAAUGAUUCCAAGUGAUGAUUUGCAGCUGAGAUAGGGAAUAACUCUGAUGUCUAACAAAUCCUUUUACAAAUCAGGUUUCUAAUAUUUUGCUUUCAAUAAAAUUAAGUUAUUGAAGUAUGGAUUCUUCAAAAUAAAUUUGACUGCUUGAUAA